GAAAAACUAAUUCAUAGCGGAGGAAAGAAACCAACAGGGAUUGCCCUAGUAACGGCGAGUGAAGCGGCAACAGCUCAAAUUUGAAAUCUGGCGUCUUUGGCGUCCGAGUUGUAAUUUGCAGAGGGCGCUUUGGCAUUGGCAGCGGUCCAAGUUCCUUGGAACAGGACGUCACAGAGGGUGAGAAUCCCGUACGUGGUCGCUAGCCUUUACCGUGUAAAGCCCCUUCGACGAGUCGAGUUGUUUGGGAAUGCAGCUCUAAAUGGGAGGUAAAUUUCUUCUAAAGCUAAAUACUGGCCAGAGACCGAUAGCGCACAAGUAGAGUGAUCGAAAGAUGAAAAGCACUUUGGAAAGAGAGUUAAAAAGCACGUGAAAUUGUUGAAAGGGAAGCGCUUGCAGCCAGACUUGCCUGUAGUUGCUCAUCCGGGUUUUUACCCGGUGCACUCUUCUAUAGGCAGGCCAGCAUCAGUUUGGGCGGUUGGAUAAAGGUCUCUGUCAUGUACCUCCUUUCGGGGAGAUCUUAUAGGGGAGACGACAUGCAACCAGCCUGGACUGAGGUCCGCGCAUCUGCUAGGAUGCUGGCGUAAUGGCUGUAAGCGGCCCGUCUUGAAACACGGACCAAGGAGUCUAACAUCUAUGCGAGUGUUUGGGUGUCAAGCCCGAACGCGUAAUGAAAGUGAACGGAGGUGGGAACCUUUCGGGGUGCACCAUCGACCGAUCCUGAUGUCUUCGGAUGGAUUUGAGUAAGAGCAUAGCUGUUGGGACCCGAAAGAUGGUGAACUAUGCUUGAAUAGGGUGAAGCCAGAGGAAACUCUGGUGGAGGCUCGCAGCGGUUCUGACGUGCAAAUCGAUCGUCAAAUUUGGGCAUAGGGGCGAAAGACUAAUCGAACUAUCUAUAGCUGGUCUCAAAUUCCCCCCC
rnacentral:rRNA from 1 species